rnacentral:lncRNA from 1 species
UAAAAAAAAAAAAAGGAAAGAAAAAAUCCCUGACCUCAAGAGCUGUCCUUCUUGGGACAUCUGUUAUUGACUUGAGGAAGUGUGACAUACAUUUAGUUAGAUGACAAAGGCUCAGGGUAUCCUGACACAGUUUGGGAAAGAUUUGAAGACUGAGGUGUCCCCACACCGCUCUGGAAGUGGAUCCCGUGUGAUGGCAUGGGCUGGGAAGAAACUUUUGUAUCUCAAAUCAUGCACCUAAACCGCUUUCCGGAGUCCUUUGCAUGGGGAAAACCAACCAAGGGUGGUCUGUUCCAGGUUACCCUGAGCUGUACAGGACUGAACGUGAAGGAGGAAAAAGGUGCUGUGAACACUUUACUGCCUGCACCCACAAACUGUCUGCUUUAUCCCUGUUUGAAAGCCAGAGAUGGUGAUGGCCCCCAGCUUUAUGAAAUAAAUAUCAGUGUGCAAGUUACCG